AAUCUUAUAAUUAUAUAGAAACUUAGGAUAAUAA
rnacentral:tRNA from 1 species